rnacentral:rRNA from 1 species
GAUGAACGCUGGCGGCGUGCCUAAUACAUGCAAGUCGAGCGAACGGACGAGAAGUUUGCUUCUCUGAUGUUAGCGGCGGACGGGUGAGUAACAUGUGGAACACGUACCUAUAAGACGGGGAUAACUUCGGGAAACCGGCGAUAAUACCAUAUAAUAUUUUGAACCGCGUGGUUCAAAAGUGAAAGACGGCCUUGCUGUCACUUAUAGAUGGAUCCGCGCUGCAUUAGCUAGUUGGUAAGGUAACGGCUUACCACGGCAACGAUGCAUAGCCGACCUGAGAGGGGGAUCGGCCACCCGGGAACUGGGACAGGGUCCAGACUCCUACGGGAGGCAGCAGUAGGGAAUCUUCCGCAAUGGGCGAAAGCCUGACGGAGCAACGCCGCGUGAGUGAUGAAGGUCUUCGGUUCGUAAAACUCUGUUAUUAGGGAAGAACAUAUGUGUAAUUAACUGUGCACAUCUUGACGGUACCUAAUCAGAAAGCCACGGCUAACUACGUG